UGGAUCCAGACUUUGAUUCUGGCUCAGGACGAACGCUGGCGGCGUGCCUAAUACAUGCAAGUCGAACGAAGCUUUCUUUCACCGAAUGCUUGCAUUCACCGAAAGAAGCUUAGUGGCGAACGGGUGAGUAACACGUAGGCAACCUGCCCAAAAGAGGGGGAUAACACUUGGAAACAGGUGCUAAUACCGCAUAACCAUGAACACCGCAUGAUGUUCAUGUAAAAGACGGCUUUUGCUGUCACUUUUGGAUGGGCCUGCGGCGUAUUAACUUGUUGGUGGGGUAACGGCCCACCAAGGUGAUGAUACGUAGCCGAACUGAGAGGUUGAUCGGCCACAUUGGGACUGAGACACGGCCCAAACUCCUACGGGAGGCAGCAGUAGGGAAUCUUCCACAAUGGACGAAAGUCUGAUGGAGCAACGCCGCGUGAAUGAAGAAGGCCUUCGGGUCGUAAAAUUCUGUUGUCAGAGAAGAACGUGCGUGAGAGUAACUGUUCACGUAUUGACGGUAUCUGACCAGAGAGCCACGGCUAACUACGCGCCAGCAGCCGCGGUAAUACGUAGGUGGCGAGCGUUGUCCGGAUUUAUUGGGCGUAAAGGGAACGCUGGCGGUCUUUUAAGUCUGAUGUGAAAGCCUUCGGCUUAACCGAAGUAGUGCAUUGGGAACUGGAAGACUUGAGUGCAGAAGAGGAGAGUGGAACUCCAUGUGUAGCGGUGAAAUGCGUAGAUAUAUGGAAGAACACCAGUGGCGAAAGCGGCUCUCUGGUCUGUAACUGACGCUGAGGUUCGAAAGCGUGGGUAGCAAACAGGAUUAGAUACCCUGGUAGUCCAUGCCGUAAACGAUGAGUGCUAAGUGUUGGAGGGUUUCCGCCCUUCAGUGCUGCAGCUAACGCAUUAAGCACUCCGCCUGGGGAGUACGGUCGCAAGACUGCAACUCAAAUGAAUUGACGGA
rnacentral:rRNA from 1 species